CCUACGGGUGGCAGCAGUGGGGAAUAUUGCACAAUGGGGGAAACCCUGAUGCAGCGACGCCGCGUGAGUGAAGAAGUAAUUCGUUAUGUAAAGCUCUAUCAGCAGGGAAGAAAAUGACGGUACCUGAGUAAGAAGCCCCGGCUAACUACGUGCCAGCAGCCGCGGUAAUACGUAGGGGGCAAGCGUUAUCCGGAUUUACUGGGUGUAAAGGGAGCGUAGACGGCAGUGCAAGUCUGGAGUGAAAGGCGGGGGCUCAACCCCCGGACUGCUCUGGAAACUGUACGGCUGGAGUGCAGGAGAGGUAAGUUGAAGUCCGGGGGUAGCGGGGAAAGGCGGAGAUAGGAGGAGGGACACCAGUGGCGAAGGCGGCUAACUGGACUGUAACUGACGUUGAGGCUCGAAAGCGUGGGGAGCAACAAGGACUAGAUACCCCAGUAGUC
rnacentral:rRNA from 1 species